rnacentral:rRNA from 1 species
CUAAUACCGGAUAAGAAAGACGGAUCGCAUGAUCAGCUUUUAAAAGGCGGCGUAAGCUGUCGCUAUGGGAUGGCCCCGCGGUGCAUUAGCUAGUUGGUAAGGUAAAGGCUUACCAAGGCGAUGAUGCAUAGCCGAGUUGAGAGACUGAUCGGCCACAUUGGGACUGAGACACGGCCCAAACUCUACGGGAGGCAGCAGGCG